rnacentral:rRNA from 1 species
GACGAACGCUGGCGGCGUGCUUAACACAUGCAAGUCGAACGGAAAGGCCCUGCUUUUGUGGGGUGCUCGAGUGGCGAACGGGUGAGUAACACGUGUGUAACCUGCCCUUGACUUUGGGAUAACUUCAGGAAACUGGGGCUAAUACCGGAUAGGAGCUCCUGCUGCAUGGUGGGGGUUGGAAAGUUUCGGCGGUUGGGGAUGGACUCGCGGCUUAUCAGCUUGCUGGUGGGGUAGUGGCUUACCAAGGCUUUGACGGGUAGCCGGCCUGAGAGGGUGAACGGGCACAUUGGGACUGAGAGACGGCCCAGACGCGUACGGGAGGCAGCGGUGGGGAGUAUGGCACAAUGAGCGGAAGCCUGAUGCAGCAACGCUGCGUUCGGGAUGACGGCCUGCUGGUAGAGAACCGCAUUCGCCUGUGACGAAGCGGUUGUGACGGUAAUGGAUGAAGAAGCACCGGCUAACUACGUG